GACGGAGGGUGCAAGCGUUGUUCGGAUUGACUGGGCGUAAAGGGCGUGUAGGCGGUUGGUCAAGUCCGAUGUGAAAGCCCGGGGCUCAGCUUCGGAAGUGCAUCGGAAACUAGCCAGCUGGAGCGCGAUAGAGGAGGGCGGAAUUCCUGGUGUAGCGGUGAAAUGACGUAGAUAUCAGGAGGAACACCGGUGGCGAAGGCGGUUCUCUGGGCAUUACCUGACGCUGAGGAGCGAAAGUGUGGGGAGCGAACAGG
rnacentral:rRNA from 1 species